GCUCGGGUGGCGAAACUGGUAGACGCAAGGGACUUAAAAUCCCUUGGGGGGAAACCCCUGUGAGAGUUCGAGCCUCUCCCCGAGCA
rnacentral:tRNA from 1 species